rnacentral:rRNA from 1 species
UCUUCGGCAAUGGACGAAAGUCUGACCGAGCAACGCCGCGUGAGUGAAGAAGGUUUUCGGGGCGUAAAACUCCGUUGGUAGAGAAGAACGUUGGUGAGAGUGGAAAGAGCAUCAAGUGACGGUAACUAGCCAGAAGGGGACGGCUAACUACGGGGGAGCAGCCGCGGUAAUACGUAGGUCCCGAGCGUUGUCCGGAUUUAUUGGGCGUAAAGCGAGCGCAGGUGGUUUAUUAAGUCUGGUGUAAAAGGCAGUGGCUCAACCAUUGUAUGCAUUGGAAACUGGUAGACUUGAGUGCAGGAGAGGAGAGUGGAAUUCCAUGUGUAGCGGUGAAAUGCGUAGAUAUAUGGAGGAACACCGGUGGCGAAAGCGGCUCUCUGGCCUGUAACUGACACUGAGGCUCGAAAGCGUGGGGAGCAAACAG